CUUCCUGCAGAGUUCAGCUCCAGAUCCAAACAAACACACCUGAACUCGCUAAUCAGUCAAGAUGUUUGAAAUGACCACAAACCUCCAGAGACAUGCUUCGGAGAUGAACUCUUCACCUGAGGUGGCCCUCAGGAAACACUGGAGGAUUUGAAUAUGAUGUCAUGACAUCAAAAGGAGAGCGGCACACAAGCACGGGCACAGCUGUAAUAAAUCUCCAAACAAGCAAGACAAUCAUCCCUCCUGGUAAGAAAGACGGAUUUGUUUUCGCAUAUUUGGUCGUAUUUGAGGAAUUCCUUCUCAAAGUGACUUUCGGACAGUCCUGGACAUCCGCAGCGAAACAUGACUGAACUCGGCUUUCUGAAGAUCGGUUUAAUCGGAACCGCGUUUUCCUUUCUGCUGGCUCUGUUUGGGCUGGUUGAUUCGGUCGGAGGUCUGAUGUAUCCUCAAGGACCAGACUGGGCAGACGACAGCUGGACAGAGAAGCUUCCCCCUGGGUCUUCAUCACGGACAUCUGUGGCUGCCAACAACACCAAGCGCCACGAGUCGAGGUGAUCUUCUCAACUGCCAUCGGUGGCAAGUCUCUAAUUGCACUAGGAGAAAUAAUCCGUGCAUUAAUGUUACUGACCUACUAAAGCCUGCUGUGGAAUUAUUUCCUGCAUUACACUACUGUGAGUCAGACAUGAAGAACAUCAAAAAGGGCUGAUCAUUCUACAAGCCAUAUGAGACGUCAAUUCUUCCCACUCAUUAGACAUUUUACUUUGUUAUUCUGGUUUCUGCAAAGAACUUGUCUGACUUCAUAAGAAGAAAAGCUUGCAAGAGUAGAAAACAAAAUCUUCAGGAAAGAUUGAAAGCUUAAAAAUACUACAAACAUGCUACAUGAUAUGCUUGACUGCUAGAAUCAAAAUAUUGAAAUCCCCUUAUGGUCAAAAAUGUUUUAUGUUUUUUAUUAUGUGUGUUCCUUUUUUAUAUGAAGUCUAACACAAUGUUUGCAUACAUUUGUGUAACAUGCUGUGUUCACCAUUAAAACAAAAAAACUGGCAUUAGGCAGCAAAACGUUGUUUUGGUUCUGAAAGGGGGGGUCUGAAAGUUGUUACUAAAACUCACUGUUCUAUAUAAAACUUAAUAAAAUAUAUACAGUUGCACUGGA